AAUUCUCAACCUUUCUAGUUUUUAAAUUAGUUAGGCUUGGAUUGUGGGAGCUGCUGGUUCUAAUCGAAUCAGCUCUUCUUAAAUAUAUUAGUAAAGACCUUUGCUGACCAUCUUUGGUAUGAUAAUUAUCUAUAUCAUUGAUAACUAGUUCCCUUUUACGAGGGAGGUCUCGCUUCUAAUCGUCCUAUGGACAAAUUGACAA
rnacentral:misc_RNA from 1 species